ACGCGUAUUAAAUUGUUAAAUAAUGAUGUGUUAGGAGUGUUUAAACAUAAUAAACGUAACAUCCGGAGGAAAACAUAAUUCGUGCCAUGGAUACAAGCCAAUCAACAUCGGCAGAGCAUGACUCUGCCACGAAAAAAGCCAGCCCCUUCGACAAUCUCACCCGAGAUGAUUUGGUCAAAAAAUGUCGGGGACUGCUCGGAAUAGCCCAGAAGGCCAAACAAGCAAAAGAUGAGGCCCAAGAGGAAAUUAAACAACUGAAGGAUCAGUUGAAUCAGGCUGCGGCGCAAAAAACAGCGGACAAAGACUGCCUCCGAGCAAUGCAGGAAGUUGUUGACUCAUUAACGGAACAAAAACUUCAAUCGGCGAUGCGGGUUGAUGAGCUUCAAAAAUCGACCGUCCAAUUGCGCGGUGAGCUGGAAAAAUUGUCAGACGAAAAUGAGGCUUUCCAGCGACAAAUCAAACGAGCAACGGAGGAAAACGAGGAGUUACUGGGAAAUUUAUCCCAGAUGGAGCAAAAGUUGAAGGAUUCAGAACAGGACGCUGCGAAAGCCAAAGGUGAGGUUUCUGGAAAGGAAGAAAAGCUUAUUCGUAAGCUGAAGUUGUACAAAAAUAAGGUACAGGAGAUUUCUGCUAAACUUAUGUUGCUGAAAUCCGAUCGUAAGAUUCUGAUGAAAACCGUUAAGGAAUACUCAGAGCAAGUUCCUAAAUGGCAGAAAGAAUUGAUGAAUGCUUCCGGUAUUGUGUUCAAAAAAACACAACAACUGGAGAUCGAGAAUCAAAAGCUGCAACAGCAGGUUGAAGAGUUAAAUAAACUCAAUGAGAAACCGAGUGUUGAAGAAGGAGCUUAUGCUGAACUGCAUAGUAAAGUCUCCGAACAGGAAGCAAUCAUAAAUCAGCUUAACGAACAGCUUUCUGGUAUUGCUGAAAAAGACGAGCACAUUUCGAUCCAACUGAACCAAAUUCGACAACUUGAGAGUGAAGCUGAUGAAUACAAGAAACGUUUGGAUCAAUAUGCAGAAGAAAAAGAUAACGCCAACAACAGUUUGAAUGCGUGUAAAUUAACUUUGGAAGAACUGCAAAAAGCUUCAGCUCUGAAAGUGUCAGAUUUGGAGAACAAACUUCAUUCAGAAGUUAAACAAAAAGAGUCUCACUUAAAAGAUCUUCAACGACUUCAAGAAGACUUAGAGAAAUCUGUCCAAGAAAAUGAGAAACUUCAAGCGGCCGCCAAAAAAUCCGACAGUAAUCCUGCAAUGGAAGAACUGCAGAAGCGAUACCGAGAAUUAGAACAUGCUAAGCUUACCUUAGAACAUGAAAAACGAACGCUUAUUGAAAAAAUCAAAACCAUACAAGCUAGUACGGUUUUGGCGGAGCUCCAAACUCACCUAGAUCAGCUACAGCAACGUUGUAGCAGCCAAACAGAAGAGCUGGACAUAAAACGAAAAGAACUAUCGGAUCUGGAGAAUGCAAACAACCAGUUACAAUCACAGCUUGAGGAACUGCACGAAAAUUACAAAACUGAAGCAGCCACAAAAGAUUCUCAACUUUCGGAUUUAGAGAAAAAACUUGCGAAUGAACGCGAAGAAAAUGAAAAAUUGCAUCAAAGUUUACAAGCCGCUUCAAUUUCGGAAGAACUGCAAAAUGAACUACGUACCAAAAGUAAUCGGUUAUCCGAAUUGGAGCUAAGUCUGCAAACCGAGCGGGACAAAAUUGUCACGUUCGAAAGCAAGAUCGACAGCUUUGAAAGCUCCUUCCAACAGUUGGGAGUUCAAAACCAAGAUUUGAAACAGAAAUUGACCCAAUCCAUUUUCGAUCAGGAAAAGCUUCAGAAAAAACUGAUGGAAACUAGCUCGGCCCUUGAAACGCUCCAGGGUCACUACAAUAUGCUAACCUCGGAAAACCAACAACUCCAUUCUGCUUACUCGCAAUUGUCUCAAGACCACAGCACCUGUAACGAAGACAUCAACACCUUGCGCUCUAAACUGGAACUUACAAAGCUAGAAAAUAGCGAACUACUUUCCGAGCUGAAAGAAAUCAACGAAAUAUUGAAGGAACGCGGCGGAGUGAUUUCAUUGCAGCUUUCUAAAAUAUCGGAUCUUGAAUCCCAAAAGCAAACUCUACAGCAAAAACUAAACGAACUGGACUGUCCGGAUAUAGCGCAACUGCGACUCCGCAACCAGGAACUGGAGCAGCAGCUUUCCGAAAAGGAAACGGAAUUGGGCCAGCUUAGAGCCAGUGUCGGGGAUCGAAGCUUCGAUGGACAAAGCGAUGUGAUGUCCACUUCCACCAUAUCACGGUUGGAGGAAGCCGGUCGGAUGCGAGAUCUGGAAGAUAGUUUCGAAGAGAAGUACAACAAGCUGCGGGCCCUGGCAGUGAGGCUGAAGAAAAAAGUUUCCGAACAAACGCUGACGCUUCAGCAGUACGAAAAGGAAAGAGAAUCCAAGGCAGUGGCUGGAGGUAAAAACUUGCAGUCCCUGCAGGCAGAGUAUGAUAAGCUGCUGGACCAACUAGAAGGGGAACGUCAACGAAAUGAAACUCUGGAGGCGGAACUGAAGUGUGCUAAAACGUCAGCGGAUUCGGGAAAGACUCUGGAAGAUGCUAGCGCACACCAACGAGAACAGGAGCUUAGCCUAAAGCGUGAAAAGGAAGCUUUUAAUUUGGUUAAGAAGGAAAUCGAAGCCGAAAACCAGAAGCUUAAAAACGCACUCAAAGCUAAAGAAAAGCAAUUCACUGACGAGUUGGAAUCCCAGAAGGAACUAAAAGCAGAGUUGGAAAAGCUCCGUCUCGCAGCCAAAAAGGCUAACGUGCUUAAUUUGGAAAUGGAAGCAUACGAAAAGUCAUUGGCUGAACUGAACCGCAAACUGGAAGCCAAGAAGGAACAGGUCAAGGAACUCGAGGGCAACUUGGAAGCGCAAGAAGGAACGACUAAAAGUUUAAAAAGUCAAAUCGCUCUUCUAGAGCAAAGUUUAUCUGGCGAAAGGAGUCAUUCGCAGGAGCUGAAGAAGAAUGUUGAUUUGCAACAAGAGAAACUGCGGGUCAGUGAACAUCAGAGAGGUGAGCUGAAUGUGGAGCUAGCUCAACUAAAGGUUGAUUUCGAGAGAAUCAAAAUCGAAAUGGAGACUGGUAAGGUAGAGUUGAAUGAGGCUAUCACAGAAAAAGAGAAAUCCUGUGGAGUAUUUGAAGCUGAGAAAAGUAAAAUAUUGAAACAGGUCUACAGUUUAGAGAGUGAAUUAAGCAGUCUUAAGGAAACCCUGGCUGAGAAAGAACAGGAACUGGAAGAUAACAAAGCAGAAUUUGCGAGCUACAAAAUUAGAGCUCAAUCUGUGCUAAGGCAGAAUCAAAGCAAAGACAAUAGUAGGGAACAGGAACUUAUGGAAGAAGUGGAAACAGUUCGUAAAACUUUAGAAGUGACACAGAGCAAAUUUCAAACCUUUAGUCAACAACUGAUGGACGCCAACAAAAGUUGCGAAGAGCUGAAGGCAGACAAAGUGCGUCUGCAGGCUCGUUGCAAAGAGCUACACGAACUGCUCGAAGUAGGUAGACUGCAAAACGAGACCCUUAUGGAAGAGAUUCGAGGGUCGAAUCUUAACCACCAGGAAGCAUUGAAAACACAGCGUCUGCAAAAUGAAACUUUGGUUAAUUGUUACAAAAAACAGCUGGAAGAUAUGCAGGAAAAGCACACGCAAGAACUCAAAGAACUUCAAAGCCAGAUCAAGCAACAACAGCCGCGCGAUGUGAUGGACUCGACAGAUUCCAAAAACAACAAUUUCCAACCGGGAUUGUUAGGUCCUAUUCCCAAGGGUCAACACAUAUCCGACGAGCAAAAAAUAAGUCUGCUCCUGAUGGAACGCGAAGAAUGUGAGGGUUCGGAAAGUACCAGCUCCCAGAAUGGAGCAACUGGCGGCACACAUCGGAAAAUUUCCAACUCUAGUCACCAUCAACAGCUACGCUCUCAGCGGUCAAACCGGGAUCUGAUUCCGCUGGAUGAACUGCUCAAUUCAUCGUUUGACGAUGGUUCCAGUGUACUAUACGGUGACGGUGUUGAUGAUGAAAAUAACUCCCCAUCCCAGCUAGUGGGUCGAACGGUUUCACCUACGGUUGAGCUGCAGCAAACUAGAGGACUCCUAACGAAACAGGAGAGCCGGGUACGUCAUUUGACGGCUCUGUUGGCCGAAGCCGAACAGGAUCUGGCCAAGCUGACUCAGCUGAACGAGCUGCUUAAAGAAGAAGUUCGUAGACAUGAGCGAGCAAUCGAGCGUGAAAAGCAUGUACAUAAUUCGGAAUAUUUGAAGAAUGUGAUAUUCAAGUUCUUAACAUUGAACAGUGGGGACGAAAGAUCGCAUUUGGUUCCUGUCUUGAACACGAUUCUCAGGCUUAGUCCGGAAGAAACGCAAAAACUGAAUAAUGUGGCAAGAGGAACCGAGAGCGGAGGACGUGGCUGGACCGGUAUUCUGUGGAACUAGCAUACUUAAAAGUAUUAACGAAUGUAGGUGGAACGUGACCAUUCGAUUUCCAACUAAGAUUUGCACGAAAUAGUAGAACGUGCUCAGAUUAAUUUUCAACCGUUGUUGAUAGAAAGGUAUAAAUCUAAACACUAGUUCAAACAAAUUCUCGUAUAAAUUUAUUUAGAAGUGUAGAGAGGGUUUGUAAAUAAAUAUAUUUUCUUUAUCACUUCAGAUUGGGCAUUAGACUUCAAUUUUUCCAAUACCAAUAAUAUAGUAGGUAGUUCAUAUGACACCGGAAGAGUGAGAUAGAAAGCAUUGUCUUCGAACCGAAAAGCAUCCUUGAAAACGAACAUGUUACUACAACAGGAUCCGAAAAUGACAAUUUGAUGGCUAAGGAGGAUACCGAGGGAGUCGAUCAAGCUUUUACUUUGUA